CAAUAGCGUAUAUUAAAGCUGUUGCGGUUAAAAAGCUCGUAGUUGGAUUUCUGUCAAGGACAACUGGUCCGCCCUCCGGGUGAGCACAUAGUUUGGUCUUGGCAUCUUGCUGGAAACUGUUGCUGCGCUUGGUUGUGUGGUGCAGCUUUCAGCACUUUCACUUUGAGGAAAUUGGAGUGUUUCAAGCAGGCACAUGCCUUUGGACACAGUAGCAUGGAAUAAUUAGAUUGGGCUUUUGCUCCAACUUGUUGGUUCCUGGAGCUGAGGUGAGAAUCAAUGGGGAUUGUUGGGGGCAUCCGAAUUUAGCCGUCAGAGGUGAAAUUCUUGGAUCUGCUAAAGACGGACAACUGCGAAAGCGUUUGCCCAGGAUAUUUUCAUUGA
rnacentral:rRNA from 1 species